rnacentral:rRNA from 1 species
CAAAGGGAUUACCGGUGGCGGAUGGGCAUGCGGCGCAUUAGCUAGUCGGCGGGGUAACGGCCCACCGAGGCGACGAUGCGUAGGGGUUCUGAGAGGAAGGUCCCCCACACUGGUAUUGAGACACGGACCAGACUCCUACGGGAGGCAGCAGUGAGGAAUAUUGGUCAAUGGGCGCGAGCCUGAACCAGCCAAGUCGCGUGAGGGAUGACGGUCCUACGGAUUGUAAACCUCUUUUGCCGGGGAGCAAGCGUGCGUUCGUGAACGCGCGUCGAGAGUACCCGGAGAAAAAGCAUCGGCUAACUCCGUGCCAGCAGCCGCGGUAAUACGGAGGAUGCGAGCGUUAUCCGGAUUUAUUGGGUUUAAAGGGUGCGUAGGCGGGAUGCCAAGUCAGCGGUAAAAAUGCGGUGCUCAACGCCGUCGAGCCGUUGAAACUGGCGUUCUUGAGUGGGCGAGAAGUAUGCGGAAUGCGUGGUGUAGCGGUGAAAUGCAUAGAUAUCACGCAGAACUCCGAUUGCGAAGGCAGCAUACCGGCGCCCUACUGACGCUGAGGCACGAAAGCGUGGGUAUCGAACAGGAUUAGAUACCCUGGUAGUCCACGCAGUAAACGAUGAAUGCUAACUGUCCGGCUCGAAUGAGCGCUGG